CAAGGCAAAGGAUAAAGAUCAUGAUCGUGACAAGUCUAGAGAGAAGGACCGUGAGCGUGAUAAGGAUAGGAAAGACCGAGGGAAGGAAAAGAGCAGGGAUAGGGAGAGAGAGAAAGAAAGAGAAAGAGUGAAGGAGAAGGAUAGAGAGAAAUAUAAGGAUCGAGAAAAAGAGAGGGAAAUUGAUAAAGAUAGAGAUAGGGAAAAAGCAAGAGACAAGGCUAAGGAGAGGGAG
rnacentral:misc_RNA from 1 species